UCUCCCUAGGACUAGUGCCCAUGGGAAUGUUGCUGAAGGCGAGACCAAGCCAGACCCAGACGUGACUGAACGCUGCUCAGAUGGCUGGAGCUUUGAUGCUACCACCCUGGAUGACAAUGGA
rnacentral:sRNA from 1 species